AUUGAACGCUGGCGGAAUGCUUUACACAUGCAAGUCGAACGGUAGAGGGGGCAACCCCUCGAGAGUGGCGAACGGGUGAGUAAUAUAUCGGAACGUGCCCAGUCGUGGGGGAUAACGUAGCGAAAGUUACGCUAAUACCGCAUAUGAUCUAAGGAUGAAAGCGGGGGAUCGCAAGACCUCGCGCGAUUGGAGCGGCCGAUAUCAGAUUAGGUAGUUGGUGGGGUAAAGGCUCACCAAGCCAACGAUCUGUAGCUGGUCUGAGAGGACGACCAGCCACACUGGAACUGAGGCACGGUCCAGACUCCUACGGGAGGCAGCAGUGGGGAAUUUUGGACAAUGGACGCAAGUCUGAUCCAGCCAUUCCGCGUGCAGGAUGAAGGCCCUCGGGUUGUAAACUGCUUUUGUACGGAACGAAAAGGUCUCUCUUAAUACGGGGGACUCAUGACGGUACCGUAAGAAUAAGCACCGGCUAACUACGUGCCAGCAGCCGCGGUAA
rnacentral:rRNA from 1 species